GUACGUUCUCGGGGCGGGGUGAAACUCCCCACCGGCGGUGAUGGUGGCGCACAGGCGACACCGAGCCCGCGAGCGCCCGUCUACCCGGACGGGGACAGCAGAUUUCGGUGUGAAUCCGGAGCCGACGGUCAUAGUCCGGAUGCGAGAGAACAAGA
rnacentral:ncRNA from 2 species